CGUAGGUGGCAAGCGUUGUCCGGAAUUAUUGGGCGUAAAGCGCGCGCAGGCGGUUCCUUAAGUCUGAUGUGAAAGCCCCCGGCUCAACCGGGGAAGGUCAUUGGAAACUGGGGAACUUGAGUGCAGAAGAGAAGAGCGGAAUUCCACGUGUAGCGGUGAAAUGCGUAGAGAUGUGGAGGAACACCAGUGGCGAAGGCGGCUCUUUGGUCUGUAACUGACGCUGAGGCGCGAAAGCGUGGGGAGCAAACAGGAUUAGAUACCCUGGUAGUCCACGCCGUAAACGAUGAGUGCUAAGUAUUAGAGGGUUUCCGCCCUUUAGUGCUGCAGCUAACGCAUUAAGCACUCCGCCUGGGGAGUACGGCCGCAAGGCUG
rnacentral:rRNA from 1 species